CACGUAGGCACCAAGCGUUGUCCGGAUUUAUUGGGCGUAAAGAGCUCGUAGGCGGUUCAGUAAGUCAGGUGUGAAAUCUUUGGGCUUAACCCAAAGCGUGCACUUGAUACUGCUGUGACUUGAGUUCGGUAGGGGAGCGGGGAAUUCCUAGUGUAGCGGUGAAAUGCGCAGAUAUCAGGAGGAACACCAAUGGCGAAGGCAGCUCGCUGGGACGUGACUGACGCUGAGACGCGAAAGCGUGGGGAGCAAACAGG
rnacentral:rRNA from 1 species